CAGGUGUCCGCGCGUAAGGCGCGGGUGAAAAGGGAACGGAGUGGGAAUCUCCGACAGGACCGCUGCUGUGAGGCGGAGCGUGGCGCAAAAUGGUCAUUGAUUUUACGAAUCGAGAAGACCGCGCCGGCGUGAUGAAGCCGAGUCAGAAGACCUGCCCGCGAAUG
rnacentral:ncRNA from 1 species